rnacentral:rRNA from 1 species
AUUGAACGCUGGCGGUAUGCUUUACACAUGCAAGUCGAACGGCAGCACGGGGCAACCUGGUGGCGAGUGGCGAACGGGUGAGUAACAUAUCGGAACAUGUCCGGAAGUGGGGGAUAACGCACCGAAAGGUGUGCUAAUACCGCAUACGCCCUGAGGGGGAAAGCGGGGGAUCGUAAGACCUCGCGUUAAUGGAGCGGCCGAUGCCGGAUUAGCUAGUUGGUGAGGUAAAGGCUCACCAAGGCGACGAUCCGUAGCUGGUCUGAGAGGACGACCAGCCACACUGGAACUGAGACACGGUCCAGACUCCUACGGGAGGCAG